rnacentral:rRNA from 1 species
UACGUAGGUGGCAAGCGUUGUCCGGAUUUACUGGGCGUAAAGAGCGCGCAGGCGGUCGGAUAAGUCGAAUGUGAAAGCCCCCGGCUCAACUGGGGAGGGUCAUUCGAUACUGUUCGACUCGAAGGCAGGAGAGGGAAGUGGAAUUCCCGGUGUAGUGGUGAAAUGCGUAGAUAUCAGGAGGAACACCGAUGGCGAAGGCAGGUCUCUGGGCCAUAACUGACGCUGAGAAGCGAAAGCAUGGGGAGCGAACAGG